CCUACGGGUGACAGCAGUGGGGAAUAUUGCACAAUGGGGGAAACCCUGAUGCAGCGACGCCGCGUGAGUGAAGAAGUAACUCGUUAUGUAAAGCUCUAUUAAUAGGGAAGAAAAUGACGGUACCUGAGUAAGUAGCCCCGUCCAACUACGUGCCAGCUGCCGCGGCAAUACGGAGGGGGCAAGCGUUAUCCGGAGUUACUGGGUGUAAAGGGAGCGUAGUCGGUCGUGCAAGUCUGGAGUGAAAGGCGGUGGCUCAACCACCGGACUGCUGUUGAAACUGUACGGCUGGAGUGUAGGAGAGGUAGGUGGAAUUCGUGGUGUAGCGGUGAAAUGCAUAGAUAUUAGGAAGAACACCGAUGGCGAAGGCAGCUUACUAAGCUAUAACUGACAUUGAGGCUCGAAAGCGUGGGGAGCAAACAGGAUUAGAUACUCUUGUAGUC
rnacentral:rRNA from 1 species